rnacentral:rRNA from 1 species
AUUGAACGCUGGCGGCAUGCUUUACACAUGCAAGUCGAACGGCAGCGCGGGGCAACCUGGCGGCGAGUGGCGAACGGGUGAGUAAUAUAUCGGAACGUACCCAAGAGUGGGGGAUAACGUAGCGAAAGUUACGCUAAUACCGCAUACGAUCUAUGGAUGAAGGCAGGGGAUCUUCGGCCCUUGUGCUCCUGGAGCGGCCGAUAUCUGAUUAGCUAGUUGGGGAGGUAAAGGCUCACCAAGGAGACGAUCAGUAGCUGGUCUGAGAGGACGACCAGCCACACUGGAAGUGAGACACGGUCCAGACUCCUACGGGAGGCAGCAGUGGGGAAUUUUGGACAAUGGGCGCAAGCCUGAUCCAGCAAUGCCGCGUGAGUGAAGAAGGCCUUCGGGUUGUAAAGCUCUUUUGUCAGGGAAGAAACGGUUGGGGCUAAUAUCCCCGGCUAAUGACGGUACCUGAAGAAUAAGCACCGGCUAACUACGUGCCAGCCGCCGCCGUAAAAC